GCCGACUAAACAACUAACCACAAAUAUACUAUGCCAAACAAACAAACCAUUUGACAUACUAAGUAGUUGCGAUCGAACAGUUAAAAGUCACAACAAAGUACCGUAAGGGAACCACCAUUAAGCAAUAAACAGCAAAGACUAACCCUUGUACCUUUUGCAUCAUGGUUUAGCAAGUAAUGCAAGACAAGAAGAAUCACAGUCUUCCCCCCCGAAACCGAAUGAGCUAUUUUCAAGCAGUCUAACGGACGCACCCUUCUGUGUAGCAAAACAGUGGAAAGACUUAAAAAUAGAGGUGAAACGCCUAUCGAAUUCGGAGAUAGCUGGCUACCCCAAACAGAAUCUAAGUUCUACUUUAGAAUAGCCCAUUAACCAAUUAAUAUCUAAAGAUAGUCAAUAGAGGUACAGCUCUACUGACCCAGGACACAACCUGAAUUUGUAAGGAAACCAUCCGCCUUUAACCCGUAGGCCCUCAAGCAGCCACCCAAAAAAAUAUCGUCAAAGAAUUAACCUAAAUAAUCCCAACACUAGAUAAAACUUCAAAUUAACUAAAGGUAAAUCUACAAAAGUAGAUACUAUUAUGCUAAAACUAAUAAUAAGACACCCUCUCUCCACGCACCCCUCCACUAGAAACAGAAAAACUACUAGUAAUUAACAGACCACAAAAGGCAAACAAUCAACCCAUGUACACCUUUAAACCCACUGUAACACCAACACAGGGGCGUAAAAAAGAAAGAUUGACUGUUAUAAAAGGAACUCGGCAACCCCGGGCUUCAACUGUUUAACAAAAACAUAACCUUUAGCCAACCAAGUAUUAAAGGCGACGCCUGCCCAGUGAAAAAUUAAACGGCCGCGGUAUCCUAACCGUGCAAAGGUAGCAUAAUCAUUUGUCUAUUAAUUGUAGACCUGUAUGAAAGGCAAAAUGAGAGCCCAACUGUCUCUUAUAACAAAUCAAUUAAACUGAUCUCCUAGUACAAAAGCUAGAAUACCUACAUAAGACCAGAAGACCCUGUGAAGCUUUAACUAAUCUAUUAAACCCCAUAAUAGCUACUUUAGGUUGGGGCGACCUUGGAAUAAAAAAGAACUUCCAAUCUAUGACUUCCUCAUAAAUUAGGCAAACAAGCCAACACUAGACCCAGUAUAGCUGACAAUUGAAACAAGUUACUCCAGGGAUAACAGCGCUAUCUUCUUUAAGAGCCCAUAUCAAAAAGAAGGUUUACGACCUCGAUGUUGGAUCAGGACACCCCAGUAAUGCAACCGUUACUAAAGGUUCGUUUGUUCAACGAUUAAUAGUCCUACGUGAUCUGAGUUCAGACCGGAGCAAUCCAGGUCAGUUUCUAUCUAUGUAAAGCUUCACCCAGUACGAAAGGACCGGCACAGCAAAGCCAAUGCCACACGCACGCUUUAACCACAAAUAUACCACCUAUAAAAAUAACUAUCAUCACUCAACCUAGAUAAGGUUAAUUAAGGACCACCACACCUUA
rnacentral:rRNA from 1 species